rnacentral:rRNA from 1 species
UACGGGGGGGGCAAGCGCUGUUCGGAAUUACUGGGCGUAAAGGCGCGUAGGCGGCCUGCUAAGUCGAACGUGAAAUCCCCGGGCUCAACCCGGGAACUGCGUCCGAUACUGGUAGGCUUGAAUUCGGGAGAGGGAUGCGGAAUUCCAGGUGUAGCGGUGAAAUGCGUAGAUAUCUGGAGGAACACCGGUGGCGAAGGCGGCAUCCUGGACCGAAAUUGACGCUGAGGCGCGAAAGCCAGGGGAGCAAACGGG